CGGUGCUCUGCCUGUUGCCACUCUCUGUUACUUGUGGGAUCAGGUUGCUUUUAAGACAAGGUGUGUGUUCCACACACACAGUACCUGCCAGACAGAUCUCUGUCUGAAUGUUCUCGAAUGGCCUACUUUAAUCCACACCGGCUUGGAGCAGCUCACGCCACAGAAGUGUGGUCGGGUUACCUCCUGACAAUCUCUCUCCACCCCAGUUUCCCCGAAUGAAGCACUCCAGUCUCUUGUGCUGGUGCCUGGCCGCCGGAUUCUGAGUCCUGUGACAGCGCUAAGCUAUUCCCAGGGAACGACCAAUGUAGGCUGAAAAAAAGCCACUCACCCAGCUGGGCCUCUCUGAACUGUCACUUUUAUAAAUUGCAAGGCUGGGAUAGGAAUGCUACCUAACCAAAAGGAAGAAGGUGGGGGAAGAGGAUAAACGUGGAGUUGUCCAUAGCCCUCAAGUCCCACCUUCCAGAGACCUAUUUCCUCCAGACAGAUCCCACCUCCUGAAGAAUCCACCACUGUAAACAGCAUUUCCAGCUGGAGGCCAAAUGUUCAGAUUGUUUCCACAGCAGGGCCAAUCACAACUUCCCAUCUCAGUACAUACAGCCUCGGAAAUGUGCUGUGUCUUCAACAGUGAACCACACGCCACACCAAGCAUCCAGAAGUGAGGUUCCAAGUCCUAAGGAAGCCAGUGCGUGAGUCAUCUUUUUCCUGAGUGUCAAGUCUUCACAGAGCUAGU